rnacentral:rRNA from 1 species
AUUUUUAUGGAGAGUUUGAUCCUGGCUCAGGAUGAACGCUGGCGGCGUGCCUAAUACAUGCAAGUCGAGCGAACGGACGAGAAGCUUGCUUCU